rnacentral:rRNA from 1 species
AGCGAACGCUGGCGGCAGGCCUAACACAUGCAAGUCGAACGAACCUUUCGGGGUUAGUGGCGGACGGGUGAGUAACACGUGGGAACGUGCCUUUAGGUUCGGAAUAACUCAGGGAAACUUGUGCUAAUACCGAAUGUGCCCUUCGGGGGAAAGAUUUAUAGCCUUUAGAGCGGCCCGCGUCUGAUUAGCUAGUUGGUUGAGGUAAUGGCUCACCAAGGCGACGAUCAGUAGCUGGUCUGAGAGGAUGAUCAGCCACAUUGGGACUGAGACACGGCCCAAACUCCUACGGGAGGCAGCAGUGGGGAAUCUUGCGCAAUGGGCGAAAGCCUGACGCAGCCAUGCCGCGUGAAUGAUGAAGGUCUUAGGAUUGUAAAAUUCUUUAACCGGGGACGAUAAUGACGGUACCCGGAGAAGAAGCCCCGGCUAACUUCGUG